GGUGUUUUUUUUAUUUAUUUUUUUUGUCUGUGUGUGUUGCCAUUUGGAUGUUUUGCUAUGAAGAAAUAGGAUACACGAUAAGAUGUGAGGGCUUCGUUUUUGUAGCACAUAAACCCCGAAAGUGCGCCUCUUCAUCGAAGUGUGGAGAUUCUUGAUUCCCUCCUCCCUACCAUGUAGGAUAAAACAAGGGGGGGGGGGGGGGGGGGACUACGGACGUGAGUUGGCAUGCAUGUCUGCCUGGAAAAAAAAAAAAAAAAAGGAGUCCCGGUGCUUUGUCCUCCACGUCUCUCUGCGUCCCGUCACUGCCACGCAGAGAGAGGGCUGCACGUGGCGCAGCACGUCUGUCAGAUGCUGGAAACCACGCGAGGAUACGGAGAUCCAACUCCAACCGUGGGGACUCACGGUGGUCCGGGAAUACUGUGCCGCUGUUGCGCUGCUGUACGGGCCGUGCAAGAACAUGGUGCAACUGCGGCCGCUUUGAGUGCGUGUUUGGGAGAGAGAGAGAGAGAGAGAGAGAGCGAGAGAGAGGAGGGGACCAGCGACCCGGCAGCCUCCUCUAUUCUGUCAUCCAAGGGUAGUGAGGAGAUGCUGAGACAGUGAAGUGGUGGCUGCAUGUUUAUUUUCUCUCGUUUUUAAACUUUUUUUUUUUUUUCUACAUGGGAUCCACUUGUACCGCUUUGAAGACGCGUGUCACUGGGGUUUCCCCCCCUGGACUUUUGGGUCUUUGGUAAUGUAAGGUUUACUCCUGACUGAGAGAUCCACCCGUAGAAACGUGCCUUAAAAUUCUGGAAGGACUUCAACCGGAGAUGCGGGAUUUAUUCGCUUUUUAUGGCUUGAGUAAGUGAAGUCCUACGGAAAUACUCGCACCUCAUCCGUAGGCCUGCAAGCGACAGACAGCCGACCUUCUGGCCUGAGGAGCAGAGGUCAGCGACGGGGUCAGGUCAUCGCGCUGACGUCAGAGCUUGAGAAGAAGAGGAGGAGGUGGUGGAGGAGGGAAAAGAGAAGCAGAGUGGGUGGAAGCAUGGAAGAAGAGGAGGAUGGAAGCAGUUUGAGGAGGUUGUUCGAAGCGGGUGAACCCAGAGCAGGUGAACGCAGCUGCGGAUCGCCAUGGGCUUUCUGUCUACUUCCUCUUGUGGGCCAAGUUGCUCUGUACUGGGGUUCCGAAGACCCAACAGGGGCCAGCCAAAAGCUGCAGCGAAGUGGGCAGGCUAGGCCAGGAAAGAGGCAGGUGAGCCGGGUGAGCCGAGCUCUCGUUCCCGCCGGCUAGGAGUCUCCUCGGCAGAGCAGAGCAGAGCGGAGCAGCAGAAAUCAAUACCGAGGAGAGAGGCGAGCAGAGGUUGCCCAACACCGCCUGCAGGCCUCAGAGCCCAGGGACCAACCACCACCACCACCACUACUCCCAGCUCCUAUCUACCAAUUCUCCUUCUGUCUCUCUCCUGGAGUUCCAGUACCGGCCAGGGCCAGGGCCCUCACCUCGCAGCUGCCCUAAUCACAGUGUGUUUGCCAGAACAUGCACACUUGUGCGCAGGAAAGUAAAAUGAAAAGAGACAGAAACUAUCCUUGUGUGUGGUUCAGCUGGAGGUUUUCCAACUCUGCUUGAUAAAACUUUGCCAAAGACACACAAGGAAAUGGUUGAAGAGCGAGCCAUGACGUCGAGGUCCCUUUCCUUCUGGCUCCCACGCUCCAAUUAGUCAUUCCACCUUUACCUUUUCUGAAUGAGGAUGCUAAGGAGGAUGUUGCAGCUCAGUGCUGUUUCCAAGCACGUAUAGCGAACAGUAUUCCUAAGAUCUCAUGAGCCCGGAUGAAAGGACAAUUUGAACUUUUUCUUCUCAUCUACUGUAUCAGGCAGAAGCUGUCUUUUCGCCUUAGAUUUUCUUACCCGCACAACAGCAGCUCCCUUCAGAGGAUAUGGCAGUGCAGUAUUGAUCCGUGAGGUGGAAGAGAGAAAGGCGGGUUCAGGCUUUCAUACCUCUUUCCCUCACUGUGUGUGUGUGUCUUGGGGUGAAGGGGGGAUUGUACCUUAUUGUACCUGAAGUCCACUUACUGCUGUGCAGAACGGAUCCAGUGACAGCACAGGUGAAUGGCUGCUAAUUGAAUGAGAGCUCAACUGAAAAGGACCCUAGUUUGACAGACUUGUUCCUCCUCCGCAUAUGCAGAGCCUUUUGAAGCUAAGUUCUUACUCAGCACAGGAAAGUAAAAGCGGAGAAACACCUUCACAUGGCGCCCGGAAGUCGCAUCCUCACUAAACUUCCAUUUCUAGAGUUCGUGCUGUACAUGUUUGAGGCCUGGAUUAAGGUUUUUGCCCAAAAAACCUGGAGAUAUUCUCUUCAGAUUGACAUUUAUGAUGCGGUCGGUGAAAGACCACCAUGAGGAUUAACAAUGGGCCCUUUCUCAACAUUGGGCCUUAAAACACAAGACAGCACACAUGCCUCCUUUAGCUAGCUGCACGGUUAGCCUGGUCCAGCUUCCCACCUACAUGAUAAGUUAGCUGCACCGUUUGGGGCAGAUAAUCCGCGUCUUUUCCUUAAGACAUCAGGUAUAGAGGAGCCGCUUCGAAAGGUGAGUUUAAACGUUAAAUUUUUUCUGAUGUUUUGUUGUUUUUUUUAAUCAUCUUUUAUUCUGCAGAUUUGUCUGUAACUUGCAGUCCGCCAUGUUUAAAAUCGUGCAAUACGACUUUGCUAAAAAAAAAAUAAAACUUGCAUUUCUAUUUUUUUCCCCUAAAAACAGCAUUUUCAGAUACAGCACCCUGCACUUUCAAAGGCUGAUAGAGAUAACUAAAAAGCCUGAAAACAAUUUCUUUUUUGCAGCAGCAGCAGCACGAUUGCACCCAAAAAAGAAUGCUGCUAUUUUCAUUGAGGUUUAGAGAUUUUAUUUUACCUCUUUUACCAGUAUCCUCAUGGUUACAAGAUCAACUUCGGCCCUCUUUGAGCCUUCUUUGUCACUGUUUCAGUUCUUUUAACAUUUUCCAUUAUUCCCCUGACUCCAGUCGUGGCCUGUUAACCCAGCUGGUUAUUUUAAUGUAGUUAAUUCCUGCCUUACUUGGCACAUUCUCUUCUCUCUCCCAUUUUCAAGACUGGAAUAAAAUUACUCAGAUCAAAACGGUGAAAAAAUAUUUGGAUUUUUAGAAACAAUGCUUAAGUUAGGUCUAUUUAGUGAGGAUUGUGUGAAGAAUAUUGGUGCUUUGGAUUUUGUAAAAGGAAAACAAUUUGUUCAUUUCUUUUUUAGGAAAAAUAUUUUCUCUUAAAUUAAAGUUUGACGUUUUUAGUGUGAGAUUAUGCUACUGCAAAAAAACUAAUAUUUCUUCCACAUCAUUAGCAAUAGUUAUAAAAGGAUGCUGUAUAAUAUUUGUGAUUGUGAGAUGAAUAAUUUUUCUUGAACCGCAGAUUACUGUUAUAAUAUUCUGAAAUCUUAAAUAAAACUGAUACAAAUGUGAAAUAAAAAGCUGCUGCCUCCUU